CUAGUGGCCAUGUCUGCUGAACCGAGGAGGAGGUCCUGAGGGUCCCUCUUUCACUAGGAGAAGGAAACAAAGGCUUCACUGACUCUCGGGGCCCAGCACAUCCUGCCCCAGCUCCGACAUCCUCUCUUGCUCCUGCUGCUGUUCCUGGAAGCUGCUAAGACUGCUAGGGUGCUCCUGCCUCAGGGCCUUUGCAGUAGCCAGGUCCUCCUCCUGCAGAUUUGUGGCUUCCUCCUCACCCCUUCAAAUAUCUGCACAGAGAUCUGCCUCUUCUUGAGCCUUUUCUAACCUCGCUAUUUAAAAUCAUAGUGCCCCCACCACCACCUUUCUUUCUUUCCCCUGAUUUAUUUUUUCACUGCAUCUUCUGAGUUUUGGUUUGUAUUUUUCAUCUCUAGUCACCGAAUGCAAGCUCAAGCCUGUCAUCUCUUGGCUUGCUUUUUUUCCCAGUGCCUGGCACGGAUCAGGCAAAGGCAUUUGUUGAUUGGCAACAAAGUCAGGAUUACUGCUCUUAAACUUAAGCUCCUUUUAUUAUUUUGUUUGAGCAAAUGCCAACAUUUCCUCCCAGUAGAGCUUGUCUUACAUAAUUGCAGUUAAUUAUUCCAGUUAGCGUGGGAAGAGAGAUUCCCUCAGGGACACAGGGGAAAGAAGAAAAAUCCAGACAGUAGAUUUUGACACUUGUUUCUAAUGUCUCUGAAACUACAGGAAAAGAGAAGCUCUAUAGAGAGUGGGUUUGUCUUAAUAAGGCCAAGUGGAAGCCAGAGUGAUGGCCCAGGGAAGCCAGGCCUGAAUCAUAGAACUUGUGUCUGGGAGCAGCAGGCAGAGAAGGCAGACAUGGGACAAGCAGUGACCUCCCUCCUGUCUCCAUACCUGCCCCUCCUCUGGAGCCCUGUGGUCAGGACCCUCAGGGCUGCACUGGAUGCAGCUGCUCAGCUUGGGCUACUCCUAUGCUGCCUGAGUUGGAGUUUGGAUGGCUGUGGCACCAGAUGUCUUCUCUCUGUUUCCUGGGCUGUGGGCUACUGCCCCAGGCUGCACUGAGCCCUCUCUGCCUGUGUGGUCUCCUUAACCUGCAGGAACAGCCCCCAACUGCCAGGAGCAUGCCCUUGUGGCCUCACGGGUGUACUGUAUGAUCGAUCAGCUGACAGAGGAAGAGAUAACUAGGGCCUAGCUUAUGGAUGGUUCUGCACAUUAUGCAGGCUGAACUAGAAAGUGGACAGCUGCAGCAUUACUGCCCCUGUCCAGGACAUCCCUGGACAGUGGAAAAGGGAAAUCUUUACAAUGGGCAGAACCUCAGGCAAUGCACCUGGUCACAUAUUUUGCUUGGAAGAAAAGUAGCAAGAUGUGCAACUGUAUGAUGCUUACGUGGGCUGUAGCCAGUGAUCUGGCUGGAUCUUGAGAACUUGGGGGAAGGAACAUGUAUUUGGGAAAUGACAAAUGCAUUUGGGAAAGAAGUAUCUACAACCCACAGUGCCUCACUGGCUACUGGUUCAGUCCUGAGGACUCUGUAAUGGGCUUCUGGCUGCAAUGGGCUUCAAGGGGUCCAUACCUCUUGUCUCAUUUUUACACCUCCAAGGAAUGAACAGAGGCUGCUCUUCAAGUAUAGACUGAGAAACACAAAGACCCCAAAUCCAUAAUACUCUAAAAUCUAAAAUUUGUUGAGCAUCAGCAGGACACCACAAGUGGAAAUUUCCACACUCUGAAACUUUGCUUCAUGUGUGAAAUUUAUAAGAAGUUUUAGGGUUUCCUUUGACACAGCAAUAACUUCAUGUUAAUUAUGUUAGUUUCAUAUGUUGGCUUUUAUAGGUAGAUUAAAUAUAAAUGGGAGAAAUGUUUAUAAUAGAUCAUUCACAUAUACUUGUCUCUACUAAGUGUAUUUUCAUCCAGGUAUAUAAAAAAGGGGUUAAGAUUGCUUUAUUCUUUGUUCCUCAUUAAGUAUAACAUUACUAAGAGUUAAAAUUCUAAUGUAUAAUUCUAUAAAAAGGGAUAUAUAUGUUUCUAUUUUAAAAGAACAUAUUUUAUCUUACUAAGGAAAAAAGUACCUUUUCCAAAUUCAGAAAUUUUGAAGUUUGUUUUAAAGGUAAAUUUAAAGAAUGAGGACAAGGCAGAAAGAAGAGGGAGAAGUAAAGGAUAUGGGUAAGAGAAUAUUUUUGGCAAGAAAAGAUCUGUGUGGUGAGAAGUUGAACUACCAGAAAUUAAGAAGAAAGAUGAGGACAAGAUCAGAAAGCUACUGUACAUCACAAAAAGUUUGUCAGUGAUAUUUGUGAGAGAAAAUUUCUAAGUAUGAUAAGGUUGCCUAUAAUUUCACAAACUUUAAAGAGUUUUUUUAAAUGCAAAAUUUCUAACAUUACUGUGAAAUCCAAUUCUAUGUUUAAAACAAUACUAUGUUAAAAUGUUGAUGCACUAAGUAAAAAUUUACAGAAAGUCGUCUAAGAAAAGGUUUCUGUUUAUCAAGAUAAUUUCUUCUGUUUUCUUCUCUUAGGUCUUUGAUUACCAAGGAAACUGAGUCUUAAUAGAGUCUGGAUUUAUUUAAAUGAUCAGUUUAUAACUGUGAUUAAAUGAACAUCUGUUAUUUUAGGUUACUGUAGUAUGCUUGACCAUUCCUAUGUCUGAGACUAGAACUGUAUAAUGCAAGGACUACCCAUGCUGUGAGAAUGUGCAAAGGUUGUGAAACUAAUGAUGCAUAAGUUUGAUGCAUAGUCAGUAACCAGUAUGUGCUGUCUCACACAACAUGCACAGCAUCUGCACCUUGAACUUAUGAAAUGGUCAGAAAAACCUAACAUUUCUGCUGCUAUCCAGGACCAUUGCAGGGGGAGGGGGAGGUUCCAUGUAGACAACCUUGCUAUUUAAACUAUAGUCCAUGUCUACUGGAUGUAACUCAGUAAUUUAUUGCACAAAUGAGACACACUUGUAUAUCAGGUAAUAAGUCUAUUUGAGGCCAUUAACAAUGUUUCUACACUUCAUCUUAGCCAAAAGGCGAGAAGCGAUUAUUAACAAUGUUUCUUAAUCUUGUAUGAGAUCCAGAGCCAUUCUCUGAUUUUUGCCACUAUGGUUAAACUUUGAAGAUGUCUCAAGUACCAAAUUUACAUGAUUAUAGCUAUAGUACUGAGCCAUCAAUUCUGAAUUUUGCCUUGAAAGUGAAAAGUUAAGUUGAUAUGUAAACAUUUCUAUGCAACAAUGCUGCUAAUUAUUACUUCUUUGUAUGUCAAAUGCUGUCACUCCCUCAGUGUGCAAGCCUUCUAAUUUUAUUAGAAUAAUUAGAUAUGGUUAAACACAGGGAAUUCUAGGGCUGGGGAUUUAGCUCAGUGGUUCCACCAUCUGCCUCGCAAGCACAUGGUCCCAAGUUCAAUCCCCAUACCAAAAAAAACCAAAACCAAAAAAAAACCAAAACCAAACCACAGGUAUUCCAAAAUUGGUGACCUAAAAGACACAUUUGUAAGCAAAUAUAUUCUACUUAAAAGGACUCUAAUUCUGACACAACUAGAAUUAUGUUUCUUAAACUAUUAUGCUGUUUUGCUUUUAUUAUCUUUGUAUUGCAUUUUCCGUGUAAUAGUUUGCAAGUGUGGUCUGUUCACAUUCCUCAGGGUUAUGGCUUCUAACAGAAAAUGUGAACAGAAUUUUGGGAAGAUAGGCCAUUCCCUGUGAGAUGGAUGGGCUCUGACACAGACUCCUCACAGCUAAAAAGAAUUACAACAGGAUUACAGUUGCUGCCCCACAUGGAGAAUAGUAUAACUGACCUUGUUGGUGUUCAACAACUGAGGCUUGGAGACCAAAGCUAAGGGAGGUAAAAGGACAAAGAGGUCAGCCAAUAAUUUGGUCCUCCAAGGUCAUAACAGGUCCCCUCUGCCAGGCCCCUGAACCUGCAGUGAGUAACCCAACCUCCUGAGCAGGGGGAUUGUUGGGCUCCAGAGGACAGAAACGCUACGGUGUGCAUUGUGCUAAAGGAGGGUCACAACAGAGGGGAGUGUCCCCAUGCUUCCAAGGAAGCGAUAUGGUCACACAAGACCACAAUCCAUCUGGGCAGUUGACACAACCAGUAAGGAUCUGAGGGAACCAAAAGGCUCUGGUCUUCACAUGUCCCCAAAAGUAACCCCUGAGAAGCCUUGAGUGACCUUAACAGCAAAGGGAAGCUAGUUUGGUAGCAUACUCGGUCUCAAGCAAUCAAUGGGAAAGUAUAACCAGAGAGUGAAUUAGUUAUUAACAUUUUUAAAAAUUAGAGAGCUGGGGAUAUACCCAGUGAUGCCCAGCCUAUCUGGCAAGCGCAAGAUCUUGAGUUUGUUACCCAGUACUGCAAAAAGAGAGAGGGGGAGAGGGAGAGGGAGAGGGAGAGAGAGAGAGAGAGAGAGAGAGAGAGAGAGAGAGAGAGAGAGAGACAGACAGAGGAGAGAGAGCUUUUGUCUCUUUCACUUUAAGAUUAAGGAGCAUAGGGCCGGGGAUUUAGCUCAGUGGUUCUGCUGCCUCACAAGCGCAAGGUCCCAAGUUCGAUCCUCGGUACCAAAAAAAAAAAAAAAAAAAAAAAAAAAAGAUUAAGGAGCAUAAACUCUCUCAGAGAGAAGAAAUACAGUCAUAACAGAGUCAGAGGCCACUGUAAGGAUGUGGGACAGGCAGACCCCUGGACCUUGCUACCUGCUCGUUAAUGUGAUCUGUGUUUUUCUUCUGGGACAGGCAGGGGCUUAAUCACCAUUUUUGCUAUGAACCAUGGCUCUUCAGUUGGGCUGCAGAUGCUGGAUAGGUGACUAACAGCAGAACACAGCUGGACCAUUAUUUGUAUCCUUGUCACUGUAAAUCCUGAGUCAGAUCUCUUCUCAGAUCUGCAUAAGGGCCUGCUGGUCAUUUAGGAUCUGGCUGGACCGGGUUGACCUGAAUUUUGAAGGUCUCAUCCCCUUCAAGACUGAGGACACAAGAUGAGAGGUUUACAGGGACACUAAGCUACACCCAGAAGCCUAUAGCCACUGACCUGAACCUGUGAUCACCUGGAUUCCAGGCAAGGGGAGCCCCAUGUGACUGAGACCCCCUGAUGCAGAGUUCUCUUCUGGAAAGGAAACCAUCCCUCAGCCAUCAAGAUCCCACAACUAAGACUGAGAUGAAGAAACACUGACUACUGGGACUCCAGCCCACCACCUAAUCCUUAACAGCUGCCUCCUGCCUCUGUGGUGGACUGGUCUGAACCCCUGUAUCAGAGCGACCCCCUCCAACCACCUAAGGUGUCCUCCCUCUGACCUUCCAAUUAAAAGCUUUCUUCCUGUAAAAUAAAACUGUAACACUUACCUUCAG
rnacentral:lncRNA from 1 species